rnacentral:ncRNA from 1 species
CCCCAAGAGUUUUACUAUCUAUAAUAGUUUUAUUUGGGGUAAAUGUGUAUGAUUCAUUUAUUUUUAGAUCCUACAGGAUAGAGGAUAAAAUUACCUUGGGGAUAACUGAGUAAAGAGCAGUGAGAGAUCGCAUUAAGCUGUUUGUUACUACCUCGAUGUUGGCUUGUUGUACCGAUUUGGUGUAGAGGCUAAAUUUGGAAGUCUGUUCGACUUUUAAUUCUUCAUGAGCUGAGUUAAGACCGGUGUAAGCCAGGUUGGUUCUUAUC